AGGGCUGUGGCUCAGCAGCGGAGCAUCUGCUGUGAGUGCAGAAGGUCCCAGGUUCAGAUUUCUGCCUGCUCCG